UACGCAGGACCCGAGCGUUAUCCGGAUUCACUGGGUGUAAAGGGUGUGUAGGCGGGCGUGCGCGUCCGGGGUGAAAGGUUCCGGCUCAACCGGAAACAUGCCUUGGAUACGGCACGUCUUGGGUGCGGGAGAGGACGGUGGAAUUCCUGGUGUAGGGGUGAAAUGGGUAGAUAUCAGGAGGAACACCAGUGGCGAAGGCGGCCGUCUGGCCCGCAACCGACGCUGAAACACGAAAGCGUGGGGAUCAAACAGG
rnacentral:rRNA from 1 species